UCAAAAUAAUAAAAAAAAACUUAAUUAAAAUAAACCAAAAAUUAAUUAAAGAAAAAUAAAUCUUUUACUUCUGAAGUGUUUUAAAACUAAAAAAGUAAACUAAUAAAGCCAAACAAAACUAAAUUUAAAAUCCAAACCCUAAACUAAAUAUUUCCGUCUUUUUCUUCUCCUUCACCAUUUUCUUCUUCCAUUUCUUUCUGUGUGUGGCUGUUGGGGCUUGGGGAUGGCUGGAGACGACGGAACCUCGGCAGCCAAGCAGCUUCGAUGGGACCUCAUCUUCUUCUUCACUUGACAGAUCGGUUGUGAGACUCGAAGUUGGUGCCUGAGUUCUGCAACGUCGACAAGGGUGCGGCAACAAGUUGGGCUCAUGGAUCUAGGGAGGAAGAAGAAUAUAGAAUAUGAAUAGGUCGAAGAAAUUUAUGGGUUUUUUUCUUCUUUGAUCAAAAUCUUGGGGUUUUUUUGGAUCUAUUUUAAUGAUGAUGAGAUUUUUGAGUAAUGGAUUUGUAUUUAAUUUAGAUAUUGAACGCAAAUUCUUGGAGCUUAAAAUGAUUUGUUGGCUGAUUUGGGCAUUGAAAUUUCUAGAGGGAAUGUGUUUGUCUUCUACUAUGAUUACAGAGGAAAGUGGGAUUAUGUUCUCGGUUUGAAUGUUGAUGGUUGAAGAAAGAGAGAGAAAGAAGAUGGAUUUGUGUUUGGGUUUGUUUAAAAUCUAUAUGAUCUGAUGGGUCUGUGAGUA